ACUCUGACCAUUUCACUUAAUUGCCAAAUCGAAGGUAAUUAAGUAGUUUUGCGUCAGAGCGA
rnacentral:pre_miRNA from 1 species